rnacentral:rRNA from 1 species
UACGGGCGAAAAGCCUAAAACUCAAAAGACUUGGCGGUGCUUCACACAACUUAGAGGAGCCUGUCCUAUAAUCGAUACCCCACGAUAAACCUAACCUUCCUUUGCCAUAUUCAGCCUAUAUACCGCCGUCAUCAACCUACUCUAUGAAGAUAUUAUAGUUUGUACAAAAGCUAAACACACAAACGUCAGGUCAAGGUGUAGCUUAUAAGAAGGAAGAGAUGGGCUACAUUUUUUAAAAUAAAACAUCUACGACAAAAUAUCUUGAAAUAGAUACUAGAAGGAGGAUUUAAUAGUAAAAUAAGAAAGAAAACUUACUUUAAACUAGCCCUG